rnacentral:rRNA from 1 species
CCCUUAGAUGUUCUGGGCCGCACGCGCGCUACACUGACGAUGGCAACGAGUUUUUCCUUCGCCGAAAGGUGUGGGUAAUCUUUUGAAACAUCGUCGUGCUGGGGAUAGAUCAUUGCAAUUUUUGAUCUUGAACGAGGAAUUCCUAGUAAGCGCGAGUCAUCAGCUCGCGUUGAUUACGUCCCUGCCCUUUGUACACACCGCCCGUCGCUACUACCGAUUGAAGGGUUUAGUGAGGACUCCUGAUUGGCGCCGCCGCCCCGGCAACGGAGCAGCGGACUGCCGAAAAGUUGUUCAAACUUGAUCAUUUAGAGGAAGUAAAAGUCGUAACA